UUACGGUCACAUAGAAGUUGAAACACCGGUUACCGUACGAAUCACUAAAGUUAAGCUGCUUUGUGCCUGGUCAGCAUCUAGAUGGGUGACCGCUUAGUAAUACCAGGUGCUGUAAG